UUGUAGAAGGCCAAAUAACCUCACUUAUGUCGACGAAUUACCAACAGAAAAGUUCCCAGUCCCUUGCACAGAAGGCAACCACCCUGUUCAUCUCACCGAAUUGUUAACAGAGAAAUUUCCCAUCCAGUGCACAGAGCAAGACGUAGAGGACUCGUGACGAGCCUCAGUUCAGAGUUUAUAGGACAGAAAGUGCGGCAACUGGCUUAAAGUAAUAUCCUUUUUCGUUCGACGACAUCGUUGCGAUAUCAAGACACUGAUACGAUGCAUCUCUUAACGCUAACCGUGUGUUGGCGAUAUCGUGUACAAGUGCUGUUUGUCAAGUUGGAAAUGUUGUGUGGAGCUUUUACGCUGUUUACGGGAAGGCCAGCGAACGAACCUAUCGGCCGCAUGCGCGGUAAAAUCAAGCCAACUAUACGAAAUGCCUCCAU